rnacentral:rRNA from 1 species
CACGCAGGCGGCUCGUUAAAUUAGAAGUGAAAGCCCUGGGCUCAACCCGGGAAUUGCUUUUAAGACUGGCGAGCUAGAAUUCGGAAGAGGGCAGUGGAAUUCCAAGUGUAGAGGUGAAAUUCGUAGAUAUUUGGAAGAACACCAGUGGCGAAGGCGACUGCCUGGUCCGAUAUUGACGCUCAUGUGCGAAAGCGUGGGGAGCAAACAGGAUUAGAUACCCUGGUAGUCCACGCCGUAAACUAUGAGUGCUAGUUGUUGGGGUACAUGUACCUCAGUGACGCAGCUAACGCAUUAAGCACUCCGCCUGGGGAGUACGGCCGCAAGGUUAAA